rnacentral:rRNA from 1 species
CCGGUGAAGUGAAACAUCUCAGUAACCGGAGGAAGAGAAAUCAAAUGAGAUUCCCAUAGUAGCGGCGAGCGAACUGGGAUUAGGACAAACCCUAUGCUUGCAUAGGGGGUUGUAGGACCAAGAUGUGAGAUCAAAGAAGAUAGAUGAAAUAGUUGGAAAGCUAUAGUAUAAAGGGUGAUACUCCCGUAAUCGAAAUCUUCAAUGACUCUAUUGGUAUCCUGAGUAGGACGGAACACGUGAUAUUUUGUCUGAAUCUGGGGGGACCACCCUCCAAUCCUAAAUACUACUUACAGAUCGAUAGUGAACAAGUACCGUGAGGGAAAGGUGAAAAGUACUCCAGCGAGGAGAGUGAAAUAGAACCUGAAACCAUUAGCUUACAAUCAUUCGGAGCCCUAUGUUUUUAACAGGGUGACGGACUGCCUUUUGCAUAAUGAGCCUGCGAGUUGUGGUGUCUGGCAAGGUUAAGCCAAGUGCGAAGCCGUAGCGAAAGCGAGUCUUAAUAGGGCGACUUAGUCAGAUGCUGCAGACCCGAAACGAAGUGAUCUAUCCAUGAGCAGGUUGAAGCUGGUGUAAGAGCCAGUGGAGGACCGAACCGGUGUGCGUUGAAAAGUGCUCGGAUGACUUGUGGAUAGGGGUGAAAGGCCAAUCAAACUUCGUGAUAGCUGGUUCUCUCCGAAAUAUAUUUAGGUAUAGCCUUGCGUAGUAGCAUAUAGG